AUGAUCGGACGACUGAAUCUCCAGGAGAGAGAAGAGGAUGAUCUGAACUUUGAUGAGGAAUUCCCAGAUGAAGUGGAGGAAGCUGAAUUCAUGGCGCUUGCUACUGUUCAUAUGAAUAAACCUUUUAGUAGAGGCUCCUUCUAUGAUACGAUGAAGAUGGCAUGGAGCCUGGCACAGGGGGUAACCUUUAGUGCCCUCGGGGAGAAUUUGUUCGCGCUCACGGUGAACUGCUUGGGUGACUGGAAGAGAGUAACAGAGGAGGGGCCAUGGUUAUUCCGGGACCAUGGAGUCUUGAUCGAAAAAUAUGAUGGAUACUCAAGAUAUGAAGAGGUGAUCCUGGACAGAUUGGCUGUGUGGGUGCAGAUCGUUGAUCUUCCCCCUUUGUAUAGGAAGGAUCCUGUUAUACGAUCUUUGGCCAAGAAGAUCGGCAAAGUGGAGUCAGUAAUGCUUAAUCCU
rnacentral:rRNA from 1 species